UACAGAGGUCCCAAGCGUUGUUCGGAUUCACUGGGCGUAAAGGGUGCGUAGGCGGUCGAGUAAGUCUGACGUGAAAUCUCCGGGCCUAACCCGGAAACUGCGUUGGAAACUACUUGGCUAGAGGAAUGGAGGGGAGACUGGAAUACUUGGUGUAGCAGUGAAAUGCGCAGAUAUCAGGAGGAACACCAAUGGCGAAGGCAGCUCGCUGGGACGGUACUGACGCUGAGACGCGAAAGCGUGGGGAGCAAACAGG
rnacentral:rRNA from 1 species